CUGUUACGUCACCCGCGUGCAGGGGCGGUACUUCCGGUGCACUCUGGGCGGCUAUUGGUCUUCACCCAGAAUCUACUCCAGUACCGGGUGGAAGGCUCCGGCGGGCGGCGGCAGAGCCAGGUGCUCGGAGGGAGAAGGCCGAGUCCUUGCCCGCUCAGCUCGCACGUGGGAGUGAAGUUCGCUGAGGCCACCGGGUUCCCCACGUCCCUGACGGAACAGAGACCCUUUACUGCCCCUCCCACCGCCCCUGCUUCUUACCGCCGCGCCGGCCUCUCCGGCCUCGAUCCGCGCACAGCGUGCAAUGGCAAUGGCCUUGCUCAGGGGCUCAGCUGAGGUUGGUGUGACCUUUGAGGACAUUGCCCUGUACUUCUCCAGGGAGGAAUGGAGCCUCCUUGAUGAGGGUCAGAGACAGCUGUACCUGAAUGUGAUGCUGGAGAACUUUGAACUUGUAUCCUCCCUGGCAGUGUGUUAAGGAUUCACAGUCUCCACAUCCUAGAGAAUAAUUUGUUCGGUCAAUCAUAAUUUAUUUAAACUCUUUUUUUUUUAUAAUUUUGUCAUGCUACCUCACUGUUUGUAUUUUUUCUUCGAAUUUAUGGUGAACCUUUUCUCUGAAGUGCAUUUGCUGAGUCUGUAUCUUUGUUAAAACAUCUUAUCGUAUGUUCUGUUUAUUGUGUUAUGAGUUCUGGCAAUUUUCUUUAAAGUUAGGACAGUGGAACAACAAAGAUGGAUGUUGGAA